rnacentral:piRNA from 1 species
CAGUGAGGAAAUUUUGAAAGUAG